UACGAAGGGGGCGAGCGUUGUUCGGAAUUACUGGGCGUAAAGGGCGCGUAGGCGGCCGAUCAAGUCAGAUGUGAAAGUCCUGGGCUUAACCUGGGGACUGCGUCCGAUACUGGAAGGCUUGAAUCCGGGAGAGGGAUGUGGAAUUCCAGGUGUAGCGGUGAAAUGCGUAGAUAUCUGGAGGAACACCGGUGGCGAAGGCGACAUCCUGGACCGGUAUUGACGCUGAGGCGCGAAAGCCAGGGGAGCAAACGGG
rnacentral:rRNA from 1 species